rnacentral:rRNA from 1 species
AUUGAACGCUGGCGGCAGGCCUAACACAUGCAAGUCGAACGGUAACAGGAAACAGCUUGCUGUUUCGCUGACGAGUGGCGGACGGGUGAGUAAUGUCUGGGAAACUGCCUGAUGGAGGGGGAUAACUACUGGAAACGGUAGCUAAUACCGCAUAACGUCGCAAGACCAAAGAGGGGGACCUUCGGGCCUCUUGCCAUCGGACGUGCCCAGAGGGGAUUAGCUAGUAGGUGGGGUAACGGCUCACCUAGGCGACGAUCCCUAGCUGGUCUGAGAGGAUGACCAGCCACACUGGAACUGAGACACGGUCCAGACUCCUACGGGAGGCAGCAGUGGGGAAUAUUGCACAAUGGGCGCAAGCCUGAUGCAGCCAUGUCGCGUGUAUGAAGAAGGCCUUCGGGUUGUAAAGUACUUUCAGCGGGGAGGAAGGGAGUAAAGUUAAUACCUUUGCUCAUUGACGUUACCCGCGGAAGAAGCACCGGCUAACUCCGUGCCAGCAGCCGCAGUAA